AACUUAAAGGAAUUGACGGAAGGGCACCACCAGGAGUGGAGCCUGCGGCUUAAUUUGACUCAACACGGGGAAACUCACCAGGUCCAGACACAAUAAGGAUUGACAGAUUGAGAGCUCUUUCUUGAUUUUGUGGGUGGUGGUGCAUGGCCGUUCUUAGUUGGUGGAGUGAUUUGUCUGCUUAAUUGCGAUAACGAACGAGACCUUAACCUACUAAAUAGUGCUGCUAGCAUUUGCUGGUAUAGUCACUUCUUAGAGGGACUAUCGAUUUCAAGUCGAUGGAAGUUUGAGGCAAUAACAGGUCUGUGAUGCCCUUAGACGUUCUGGGCCGCACGCGCGCUACACUGACGGAGCCAGCGAGUAUAAACCUUGGCCGAGAGGUCUGGGAAAUCUUGUGAAACUCCGUCGUGCUGGGGAUAGAGCAUUGUAAUUAUUGCUCUUCAACGAGGAAUUCCUAGUAAGCGCAAGUCAUCAGCUUGCGUUGAUUACGUCCCUGCCCUUUGUACACACCGCCCGUCGCUACUACCGAUUGAAUGGCUUAGUGAGGCUUCCGGAUUGGUUUAGAGAAGGGGGCAACUCCAUCUUGGAACCGAGAAGCUAGUCAAACUUGGUCAUUUAGAGGAAGUAAAAGUCGUAACAAGGUUUCCGUAGGUGAACCUGCGGA
rnacentral:rRNA from 1 species